ACAUAUUAAACACAGAACAUAUAUCUAAUAUUACUUAAAUAACACACUACAUAUAAAGUCUAUAUAAAUGCACUGGAUAAUACUUGUACGGAGAGGAAGUAGUCCACUGACCAGGCAUACAUGGCUUGGUAUUCACCACAGGGGACGGGUAUCAUAUUACAUCAGCACAGUAGUACUAGACGACGUUUGUGUUGUAUGGAAUGGAGAGCAGACUGCCCAAGAUGAGAACCACCUAGUGGAAAGCCUAACAGAUCAAACCAUGGGUUUGACUUAAAUUGGAAGAAAACUCCGCAAACACUUUCCAUUUCUUAGAUAUACAGGUUAAUGUAGAAAAUGGAGAAUACGUCACCACGGUAUACAAGAAACCCAUGUAUACACUGAUUAUAAUACUGGCCUGGUCAAAAGAUCCUAUUAGA
rnacentral:lncRNA from 1 species